rnacentral:rRNA from 1 species
UGCCUAGUCGCACGGGUUUAGACCCGUGGCAAAUAGCUCAGUAACACGUGGCCAAACUGCCCUGUGGACGAGGAUACUCUCGGGAAACUGAGGCUAAUCCUCGAUACAGCUCUCAGGCUGGAAUGCAGAGAGCUGGAAACGUUCCGGCGCCACAGGAUGUGGCUGCGGCCGAUUAGGUAGACGGUGGGGUAACGGCCCACCGUGCCAGUAAUCGGUACGGGUGAUGAGAGUCAGAGCCCGGAGACGGUAUCUGAGACAAGAUACCGGGCCCUACGGGGCGCAGCAGGCGCGAAACCUUUACACUGCACGACAGUGCGAUAGGGGGACUCCGAGUGCGAGGGCAUACAGUCCUCGCUUUUCUAGACCGUAAGGAGGUCCAGGAACAAGUGCUGGGCAAGACCGGUGCCAGCCGCCGCGGUAAUACCGGCAGCACGAGUGAUGGCCGAUCUUAUUGGGCCUAAAGCGUCCGUAGCCGGCCGGACAAGUCCGUUGGGAAAUCCACGUGCUUAACGCGUGGGCGUCCAGCGGAAACUGUCUGGCUUGGGGCCGGAAGACCCAAGGGGUACGUCCGGGGUAGGAGUGAAAUCCCGUAAUCCUGGACGGACCGCCGAUGGCGAAAGCACCUUGGGAGGACGGACCCGACGGUGAGGGACGAAAGCCAGGGUCUCGAACCGGAUUAGAUACCCGGGUAGUCCUGGCCGUAAACGAUGUCUGCUAGGUGUGG